CCUGUGCUGUGGCCCCGCCAAACGGCGCGCUGUCUUGCGGGGUGGGCCCGGUGUGGGCGCUGUGCUCGCGGCCGGUCCCGGGGCGCUGCUGGCCGGGUUCCUCGAUCCCGGGGGGAUGGGAUGCAGGCCUGUUCUCUGGAGAGGGGUGCGAUCCGUAUGGGAUAAGAUAUUUCCAGAGUAAUAAGCAUGGUUCAGCAACGAAAAUGUGCAUUAUGUCACAUUGUGUACAACUCAAAAAAGGAGAUGGAAGAACACAUGAGAAGCAUGCUUCACCACAGAGAACUGGAAAACCUGAAGGGAAGGGAUAGCAGCCAUGAAUGCCGGGUGUGCAGGGUGACACUGGUGGGUUUGUCAGCAUAUGCCAAACACAUCUCCAGUCAGCUGCACAAAGACAACAUUAAUGCCCAUGACAGAAAAGAGGAUGAGAAAGAAGAGGCAGAAGAAGAAUACCUUGACAAAGAACUCACUCAACUAAUCAAGCAAAAGAAGGAACGGAACCGGCAAACUGAACCAAGUUGUGCAAACAAAGAAUUAGAAUGUGAUGAUAGGAGAUCACAGAGAUUGCGAGAAGAAAGAGCUGCAUACAAAGAAAGAGAAGCUUAUGAUCAAUCAUCUUGGCAUCAUCAUAGUGCAUCACAAAGGGACUGGAAGUGGGAAAAAGAUGAUUAUGUUAGUCCUAGACAAGGCAAAUUUUCACACUCUCAGAGGAACCUUAAUAUAAAUAAACAUUCAGGAGGUGCAAGGGGGCGCUCUGGGUGGCACCAGAAUGUUUCAGGAAGCCCUUCAAAUCGACAUAACUGUGGGAAUUCUGGAAAUGCUUGGCAUCUAAGUGGGCGGGGAGGAGGAACCUCAAAUUGGCAUCAUGGUGCCAGGGAAAGAAAUUCUGCUUGGCACUCAGAAGAAACAGGUCAUUUUUCUAGCUGGAAUUCCAAGAGUUAUGGAGGAAACUGGAAAUCAAGUUCUCGUGGUGCAAAUGGCUGGAAUUUUGGAAGCUCGGGAGAUUCGUAUUCACCAGAGCCAAGUAUAUACAGUAAGGAAAGGUACACAUGGCAGCGGCCAGAGAAAGGUGAUGUUCUGCCAUACAGAAAUCGAAGGAAUAGGGAUGACUCUCUGGAUUUUACUAGUGAUAAGCUCGCUGCUGAAGGGGGAUUGGAUUUUAGUCUAUUGAAACAGCUAGAAAGCAAAACUUCAAGAGCUAGUGGAAAAAGUGUCAGUCCUUCCAGAGAUAAAACAUAUCGCUGGACUCCCUACCCAUCCCAGAAAACUGCAGAACAACAAGCACGGUCUGAAGAUAAUUCAAAAACUUUGGAUAAAAUGGAUUCUGUACUUACGCCUCGUACUGAUUCAUCAGUGAAAGAAAAAACUGGUGAAGCCAAUGUUAGCCUUUCAAAACUUCAAGAACAUGAAGCAUCUUCCCCUUCUUUUGGAACCUCAGAUAAGCCUGAUUCUUGCAAGGUUGUAAAAGACUGUUCCAGUGGUGAAAAGCCUGACAAAGAUGAUAGCAGAAGUAAUAGGAUGCCAUCAGUGAAAUCCCCUCUACUGAAUAUCACAGAUAUGAAGUUAUCCUUUUCAAAGCAAGACACAAACAGUCUCUUAAAAAAUGUCAGGCUUUUAUUAUCAUCAACUAGUAGUGAAGAACAGAAUCAUUUGAAUGCAGUGAACUUGGAAACAAACAGUUUCUCCUCUUAUUCAUCAAAACUGCAUGGUGCUUGUGUUGGUAACUUACAAGACAACAAAGGUGUGCUUGGUAACAAUCUUGGAGAUCCUGUUAAUCACUUAAGUGAAGCAGAACAAAAUCCCAAAGGUGUUCAGUCCAACCAUUCCUUGCAAAAUGCACCUUUAAGUUCUUGCAAAGAUACAAGUGACCAGAAUAGGAGAGAAACUGGGAAAGCAUUGCCAAAGAAGGAGUUCAAAAUAGAUUCGUUAGGAGAUGUGAGUGGUGAUGAUUUAAUGGGAAGUGAGAAGUCAGAAGCAAGUGUUGCAAAGCUGGAUUCUUCUGUUAGUUCUUGCUUACCCUGUGAUGCUCCUGAUGGUAAAACUAUCACCUCUGAAAAGGAAGGUUAUAAAAAAACAUCUGCUUCAAGUAUUGCUCCUGUUGAGCUAAAAAAUUUUACAUUUCAGGUAGAACCCACAGUUUCUUCAUCAAGCAGUCAGGACCCUUUGCAUGUGGAUUUGAAAAUUUCACAGGACAGGGAAGGGAAUGAAGAGUGUGUCAAGUCACAUGAUCAGUUUGAAAUGGAAGGUUUUGAAAAUCCUUCAGAUAAUGAGCUUCAAAAGGGAGGAAGCCAGUCAGGAGGCGGCCUUCUUCCUGACUUAAGCAAACUUGGCCUGCCUGCUUCUCUGCAAAGAGACCUGACACGGCAUAUCAGUCUGAAGAGCAAAGUCGGGACACAUCUCCCAGAGCCCAAUCUCAAUAACGCACGUCGCAUUCGGAAUGUGAAUUGUCUUCGGAGAAGUGAGACAGAGAAGGAGUCAGGGCUUAAACCUACGCUCAGGCAGAUUCUUAGUGCUUCCAGGCGAAAUGUUAACUGGGAUCAGGUCAUCCAGCAGGUAACCAAGAAGAAACAGGAACUUGGCAAAGGUUUACCAAGGUUUGGCAUAGAAAUGGUGCCUCUUGUUCAAAAUGAGCAAGAAGGUCUAGAACUCAGUGAAGAAUCUGAUCCAUCUACUCUGGAAGGAUUCCAGUGGGAAGGGAUUUCUUUAGCAGUAUCUGGCUCUGCCAGAAAACGUAGCUUUUCUGAAAGCAGUGUCAUAGCAGACAGAAAUCCUUCUGAUUAUAGCUUUUUCAGUGAACAAGCCAAAAUUAAAGAAAGUGGGCAAAGGCAAGUAAUUGCAGCCAGCCACUCACAUCAUAUAACAUCUGGAUAUGAGGCAGUCACUGACAUUGAAGCUGAUCAGAAAGAGGAGACACCAUCUCUUGCUUUGUCACCUUUUAUGUCUGAAAGAACUGAGGCUAGCAGAAGAAGUCACAGCCUACAGGCCGCCUUUGAGAUCACAGGCCUUGUAGAACAAGACCAGGAGAGCCCAGAGAAGAGAACACCUCUUCUUGAAAAGCAAAACGUAUUAGAGAUCUCAGAAGAAAAUCGUCCAGCUUCAAAUAGUGCUUCACUUCUUGCAGUGUCUAAUAACAUAGAUGCGGCUACAGACAGUAGCUGCACAUCUGGUACUGAACAGAAUGACAGCCAAGGAAUUGGAAAGAAGCGAAGGGCAACUGGAGAGGGAUCUUCUCCUGAAAUCCCUAGUCUAGAAAGAAAUAAUAAAAGAAGAAAAAUCAAAGGUAAAAGAGAACGUUCUCAGGUAGACCAGUUGUUGGCUAUUUCUCUGAGGGAAGAAGAGUUAAGUAAGUCCCUGCAGAGUGUGGACAGGAGCCUCCUGCAGGCGAGGGCUGCCCUGCAGGCUGCCUAUAUUGAGGUUCAACGGUUCCUUGUGUUAAAGCAGCAGAUAACUAUGGAAAUGAGUACACUAAGAAGUCAGAGAAUCCAGAUCCUUCAGGGGCUACAAGAAACAUAUGAACCUUCUGAACUCUCAGAGCAACUUUCCUGCAAUACCCUAACUGAGAGACGAAACAGCAAGUCUCAGAUGGCAGCUGACCCAAUUCCUUCAGGCUCUCUCCUGCCCCUCGUGGACAGUUUGUCUUCCUCUGUACCUCCAGGAGGAUCUUCUAUUCCAGUAACCAUGCCAUCACCAUUCCAGUCUUCUGGCAGUAUACCUUCCAACACUCCUGACUCCCCAGUACAAGUUAAACGAGAACCUGUGUCUCCACAAGGCACAGAACUAAAUGUGAAUUCUGUACUCCAGAGCUCUGCAUGUGCUCCACAAACAGAAGAGGCGGAACAGAAUGAUGAAGAGACCAACCAGAAAACUUCAGUGUAUCCUGUUAUCACUGCAACCAUAUCCCUAGCAGGACUGGCAGGUUGUUUCCAACAGACUAACCAAGAUGUCCACAAGCCUGAUGCAGACAAGGGACAGUCUGGAAUUCCUGAGAACUCUUCUCCUCAUUCAGUGUCUGUUUUCAGCAAGAGAGAAGCAAAUGAUACAGUUGGUGAAAAAUUUUUGAUGGAUCAGUGUAGCACUUCCCUUUCAAAGCAUUCAGUCCUUCUAGAAAUGCCAAUGGAUAAAACGCCCAAAUUGUCAGCAGAACCGUCUGAGCAACACUUGACAAUGGCUACAGUCCCAGCUGAGAAAGGGAAUAGAAGGAGGAGAAGGUUAAGGAAGAAGAAAACUCUGAGGGCAGCCCAUGUGCCAGACAACAGUGAUACUGAGCAGGAUAUGAUUGACUUCAAGCCUGUCCGGAAAGUCAAGGGUGGAAAGGUCCCUAAAGGAGAAAAAGUUACUACAUCUACUCCUACAAGAGAGGAGAGUGGAGUUACUGCUCAAGCAGUAAGAGACAAAGACAAGAAUGACAGUGAUGCUUCUCUGGAACUAGUGGAAAUUUCAGCACCUCAGUGUGAUGUGGUUGAUGUUGGUUCAUCAGAGUCAGGAGAUGAGAAACCAGACGAUCCGUCAAAGAGGGAUUCAUGCAAUUCUGUGGAUCAAGCAGCCCUAGAGGCAUCUUGCUCUGGUUAUGAUGAAGUGAGCUCCACCAGUGAGAUUGGCACAAAUUCUAGGAAUGAUGGGAAAAGAAGUGUGGCUGAGAUACAGACUUCCAUAUCAUCCGUAAGAGGAUCAAAGAAUUCUUCAGAAGUGUCUUCAGAGCCAGGUGAGGAUGAAGAACCUACUGAGGGAAACUUUGAGGGACACUUGGCUGCAGUGAAUGCUAUUCAGAUUUUUGGGAAUUUGUUGUAUACCUGCUCAGCAGACAAAACAGUUUGUGCCUACAAUCUUGUUAGCAGGAAGUGUGUGGCCAUCUUUGAAGGACAUACUUCAAAAGUGAACUGCCUUCUGGUCACUCAGACAAAUGGGAAGAAUGCUGCACUCUACACUGGCUCAAGUGACCACACUGUCAAUUGUUACAAUAUCAAGUUAAUGAAAAUCUUUAAGUACUUCUUUCCAUUGCUAGACCAAAGAGUGCAUGGAACAGUUUAAAUUGGAAGAUCGAGUGCUCUGUUUACACAGUAGAUGGCGGAUCCUUUAUGCAGGUCUUGCAAAUGGCACUGUGGUUACUUUCAGCAUAAAGAAUAAUAAACAGCUUGAUACCUUUGAAUGCCAUGGCCCUAGAGCAGUGAGCUGUUUAGCCACAGCUCAGGAAGGAGCACGCAAGUUGUUGGUAGUGGGCUCCUAUGACUGCACCAUCAGUGUGCGAGAUGCACGGAAUGGGCUGCUUCUCAGAACCCUGGAGGGUCACAGCAAGACUAUUCUCUGCAUGAAGGUUGUGAAUGAUCUGGUAUUCAGUGGUUCCAGUGAUCAGUCUGUCCAUGCCCACAACAUUCAUACUGGAGAGCUGGUACGGAUCUAUAAGGGCCAUAACCAUGCAGUAACGGUUGUGAACAUUCUUGGGAAAGUCAUGGUGACAGCAUGUCUGGAUAAAUUUGUUCGUGUUUAUGAACUACAGUCACACGACCGCUUGCAAGUCUACGGAGGCCACACAGAUAUGAUUAUGUGUAUGACCAUCCAUAAGAGCAUGAUCUACACUGGAUGCUAUGAUGGCAGUGUCAGAGCUGUGAGGCUUAAUCUGAUGCAAAAUUAUCGCUGCUGGUGGCAUGGAUGUUCACUGAUCUUUGGAGUUGUGGACCAUCUGAAACAACACCUGCUAACCGACCACACCAAUCCAAAUUUUCAGACCCUGAAAUGUCGUUGGAAGAACUGUGAUGCUUUCUUUACUUCCAGGAAAGGUUCCAAGCAGGAUGCUGUAGGACACAUUGAAAGACAUGCUGAGGAUGACAGCAGGAUUGACUCGUGAAGUUUUUCACCUCCCACAUUGGGAAGUAAUUUUGUAUGUCAAAGUUAUUCCAAAUAACAUCUGUUUCUUACUCCAGUCUUUCCUCUUUCUUUCCCCACUUGGAAUGCAAAAACUGAGUGGGGCUGAAAUGCAUUGCUACAGAGACUGCAGGUUUUGUUGUACUCUGUAGAAAUAAGGCUGGUAAUUAAGACUUAGCCCAAGUUCUUGCAAGUUUUUAGUUCAUUGGUGGACAAGAAUAUUCCUUCCUCUUGUCUGCCUUGGUUUUUUUUGUUGUUUGUCUCUUUUCAGAUGGUUUUAUUUUUUUUUUUAAGAAGUACAGUCUUUGGGAAGUCCAAAGGGGUGUUGAAAACUUAGAUUACAAUAGGUGCUGCUGUUUGCAAACUCAGCUUGCAGCCUAUUAUGUGUCCAAGGUGUGUCAGGUUUUGUUGUAUCCAAUUUUUUUAGCCGAUUUUAAUAAAAUUCUGCAAACCAGAAUAUCACAAAUUCUAACAAUGUAACCUGAAUAUCCAGUGUACAUUUUUCUUUCUUCAUAAAAAUAAAAGUUAUUUUAUGGAGACUGGAAUAAAUUAAUUUUUUAAUGUUAAUUGUAUGUAACUUAUUUUUUAUUCCUUGUGUAAAAAUUGCUGUAACUGGCACAAUAUAUACAGUGAUAGAUACCAUACCUCUUGAGGUAUUCUGUUUAUUUUGAGGAAAGUGGUUAUUUCUUGAGAGAGAUGCCAGUAGCAGCAAAACAGCCAAAACAGUGGCUCUACUCACAUGCUUUGCAAUCUUAGUCUUUUUCAGUAUAGGUCCAAAUGUAUGGGAAAAAAGUAAGUGGUGUUUGUUUCUCUUUUAGUUAAAGAGCAGUGUAACCACCACUGCUGUCUUGAUAAAACACCGUAAUUGGAUUGCUGAUUUUGUGGAAUCUUAGUGGCUGAGCUUUGCAGUCCCAUAUCCUCAUGGCAUAGCAAACCAAGAGAAAUGCAAAGGCACUGUGUGUCUGAGUGCAUCCACUUUGGUAGUGUUUUGUUUUUGUUGUGAACUGGCUUAAUUGUCUUGGGCUAUAUGAAGUUCACAAAAACUCAACUGGAAAGAAUGGAACAGGGUUUUAAAGUCUAAAGUUCUCAAGCAGAAGCUGAGGAUAUGAAAUGCAUUUCACAUGUAAAAGUCUUGUUUCUCCUAAUGCACGGAAGGUACCACAGUGAGGCCAGUGCAGAAGGGAAGACUGAGCUUGUCAGGGUUCUCCUGCAGGUGUCCCCCUUGAGUGGGAUUGCUUCACCUCAGAAGUUCAGUGAAAUGUCCUUCUGCCACUCGCCAUCCUCUCUCCCCUCCCUAAUGACACUAAUUUAUAACAAAGAACCCUCUUAACGCUGAGUCUAAUCUAGCAAGGAGCUUUGUGUUCACUUUUGCCUAACUUUGGUGCUCAGGAUAAAAUAAGCAGAGGUUUUCCCAAGCUGUAAGAGAGGGUGAAGACAGUGAACUGAGCUACUUGUACACAAAUUCAGCGCUUUUCAAAAAAUCCUGAGUGGACUGUUUUUACUGGGUAUCUUAUUCACAACCAAUUUCAAACUUGUCAACCAUAGACCAAAUAAAUUUUAUAGCCUCAUUCUUUGACUGUAAAGAAGCCUUUUUAGGCCAAGAAAGUGAAUAAUUCAGGAAAGCCCAUGGAUGUUCCAUUGCCAUCCAAUCAAGGAACUUCAGGGCCUUCUCUGGAGCACACUGGUUUUGUAUUAUCUUAGCAUACAAGCAGAAUUGCUCUGACUGAUGGAUAUUAUUUGUGAGAUGGGAGGAAAAUAAGAAUGAGAUGUAGAAGCAUCCUACUUCAAAGACAUGGGAAUCUCUGAGGUUCCAGUACUUUUGUGGUGAUUUAGUUUGUUUAUUUUUUAUUAAGCUGUUUGUGGAUAGCAGAGAGCCCCAAUAUGUGGCUCAGACCUCAGGCUGUUCUGAGGGUGUUCUUGUUUUGGUUUUUAGGGGAUGUGUGUUUGUGGUUUUGGUGCUGGGCUUUUUUAAUCUUUCUUUCUAUGGACUGUGGAUGAAGCAGUUCAAUAGAGAAUCAAGUCUGGGGAAGUCUUUAAGCAGUGUAGAUGUUUUAGAAUGGAGGGUGUAAUGCUCUAAAGCCUGAGAGCAUUUGUUUGGGUUUUUUGAUGACCUAAAAGCAGAAGGCUGCAUAAUACUUAAACCAUUUCCAAAGGUGAUGGUAUUCAGGAGUUCUGAGAGUUUUUUGAACCAUGAUGAGGGAGCACAUAAGUGUGGCAUAAACAGGGUAGGCAUCCUAAGCUGUCCUUCAUGGACUGUGCUGCAAGUGAAGGUGUGGAGGUGUGUCCCGAGGACAAGCCUGUGGGGCAAUAGUGGCAUUCUGAAAAACGUGUGUGAGAGUAGAUUUUGUUACUUCUCCCUUGUGAGUCUUUACAUUCUUUCAGCUGUUUUCAGGAACAUAUAAGGAUCUUUCUCAUUAGUUGUUGCAAUAAACACAGUUAUGACACUUUAUUUGCAUUCCCGUUUGCUUGUUGGACUUAUCUUUUCUAGUUGGUGGAAGUGGUCUUUUUUUUUGUGGUGGUCCAUAAUAUUUUCUUAGCUGUUUUGAAAACAAUCCUCCUGAAAAGUCUGGGCUACUGAAGUCCAGCUUUAGCAGCUGUGUCUUUUGCUGCUUUGUAGGUCAUUUCAGAUACAUUGUAAGAGAUGGGAAAAUAGCAGAGCUGCAUGAGUGAAAAAUUUUACUUCAUAAAUCAGAAACAAUUUUUUAAAAUCCUUGGGUUCAGAGGAAAAUGCUGUUUUUUCAUGAGGAUAUCUUAAAAGGAUUUGCUAAAAAGUGGUGCAGCUGUGGAAAUCCCCAGGCCUCUCUGGAGUUCUGUGGAGUGGUUUCCUAUUUGUUCAGUUGGAAUUUGGUGCAGAUUUCACAACUGGCCAUUUACUUCAUCUGGAGGCAAUUGCAGAACAGAAAUGCCAAAAUAAUGUUUGUUGGUAUUUGUUAGUGAGAUCCUCUGUGGUCUUGCAACUGAGGGUUUUGACUCCUGAUAUACCUCUAGCUGAAGAAUGCAAUAACUUUGGCAAGAUGGGCUGUUUGUGACAUUUAACACAGUAGUAUUUGCAUGAAAAGCAGUACUGCACAUCUGAAGCCAGUUUCAGGAUUACUUAUUUUUGGUUUUGGUUUGUUUUUUAUGCAAGUAAAAAAUUGUGGGUGGAAGAAUGAGUAGAGUGAAGAUUUAUUUUGUGAUUAGCUGUGGAUUUUUUAUUAGUCUACUGUUAAAAAAAGUUUUGGACUUGCUGUAUGACAGCCCUUUAGGGGCCUUUUGGGAUUGGUCUAUAUUAGUUUCUCCUUUCUCCUUCAAAUUUCAGAGAAAAAUAACAGCUAUCUGGCAGUGCAAAACACUCUGGCCUAACGCUGCUGCUUCUGUACGUGGAAGGGGAUGGAGGGAAAACUGCAUCUCUUGGUACAAAGAUGCAUUAAAUAUCCAGGCUUCUGCUUACCUUGUGUCAGUUAUAUGUGAAUUAGACUUUAAACCUAGUAUCAGCACAUAAGUUGGCUUCUGCAAAAUAGCAGGAGCUUGGCUGUGUGGUGUGUUUGAAGUAGUGCAGUUCUUAAUGCACAUUUUCAAACAGUACAAUCAUGCUGGAUCAAGGUAAAUUAUAUCUGCAAACUUGUAAAUGGCAGGGGAAGUAUUUUUGUUGGGAAAGUACUUUUCCCUUAAGUUGAAUUAAAACACAGGUACAGGUGAAUCUUGGUUUUUUUCUUGGGCCUGUAUUGUACUGUAAUUCAAGCAGUCUGAGUUGUCCAGAGUUACAGAAUAUGUGAGGAAGGAUGAGGAAACGGUUUCAGCUGCUGUUUGUAAAAUAAUUACUCCUCAAAGAGCAAACUGUGUAGGUAUAUAUUCUGUUACAUGCGCCUGCCAGCUUCUCAGAUUUCAUUUUGCUGUAACGUUAAACAGUCUUCUUAAAGAAUGGAAGUGGAAUAGAACAACUUGAUUGAAUAUUUGAUAAUGUAAGCUGUGUAAAACAUGUGCACAGAUGGAUCAUGUUUUUUUUCUCUCAUUUUGGUACAAAGCUGUGAGUGUAAUAACGAAACUUUACAUGGCAAAAGAAGAAAUAAAAAAAAUAAAGUUCUUUAUAUUGUUA